CAAGCCAUCAUUACAUUUCUC
rnacentral:siRNA from 1 species